GUGCCAGCAGCCGCGGUAAUACGGAGGGGCUAGCGUUGUUCGGAAUUACUGGGCGUAAAGCGCGCGUAGGCGGAUUAGUCAGUCAGGGGUGAAAUCCCGGGGCUCAACCCCGGAACUGCCUUUGAUACUGCUAGUCUAGAGUUCGAGAGAGGUGAGUGGAAUUCCGAGUGUAGAGGUGAAAUUCGUAGAUAUUCGGAGGAACACCAGUGGCGAAGGCGGCUCACUGGCUCGAUACUGACGCUGAGGUGCGAAAGCGUGGGAGCAAACAGGAUUAGAUACCCUGGUAGUCCACGCCGUAACGAUGAAUGCCAGACGUCGGGCAGCAUGCUGUUCGGUGUCACACCU
rnacentral:rRNA from 1 species